UACGUAGGGUGCGAGCGUUGUCCGGAAUUAUUGGGCGUAAAGAGCUCGUAGGCGGCUUGCCGCGUCGGAUGUGAAAGCCCGGGGCUUAACCCCGGGUCUGCAUUCGAUACGGGCAGGCUAGAGUUCGGUAGGGGAGAUCGGAAUUCCUGGUGUAGCGGUGAAAUGCGCAGAUAUCAGGAGGAACACCGGUGGCGAAGGCGGUUCUCUGGGCAUUACCUGACGCUGAGGAGCGAAAGUGUGGGGAGCGAACAGG
rnacentral:rRNA from 1 species